CGAAGAAAGGAUCACAGAACAUCAAAGAGAUAUACGACUAGGCAACAUGUCCACAGGCCUAGCUGAAGCAUGCUAUGCCUCCAACUACAAACCACUCUGGGAAGAAGCCAGGAUAAUAAAACACACAGAGAACAGUCGACAGGAGCUAAUCCGGGAAGCCUUGGAGAUUCACAGAAGAGAAAAAACCAAAACCCUCCUUAACGAGAAACACUCUGAAAAGCUACUAGCGCUUUGGAGAUUCGCACUUGAAAACCAAUGAAAGCGCAUCUGACAACCCCACAAAGCGAAUACUGAAAGAAUGGACUUUAAUUUUACUAAUACUACUAUUUUCUCCUUCUACAUUGUUUUCAAUUAUUUUAAUUAUCAAUUACUAUUAAUUAUUUUUAUUAUUUUUAUAUUUUAUAUUUACACGUAAG
rnacentral:lncRNA from 1 species